AUGAAACACUCCUACGGGAGGCAGCAGUGGGGAAUCUUCCGCAAUGGGCGCAAGCCUGACGGAGCAACGCCGCGUGAGUGAAGAAGGUCUUCGGAUCGUAAAGCUCUGUUGAUGGGGACGAACGUGCGAAGGGUGAAUAAUCCUUUGCAAUGACGGUACCUAUCGAGGAAGCCACGGCUAACUACGUGCCAGCAGCCGCGGUAAUACGUAGGUGGCGAGCGUUGUCCGGAAUCAUUGGGCGUAAAGGGAGCGCAGGCGGGCAUGUAAGUCUUUCUUAAAAGUUCGGGGCUCAACCCCGUGAUGGGAAAGAAACUACAUGUCUUGAGUACAGGAGAGGAAAGCGGAAUUCCCAGUGUAGCGGUGAAAUGCGUAGAUAUUGGGAGGAACACCAGUGGCGAAGGCGGCUUUCUGGACUGCAACUGACGCUGAGGCUCGAAAGCCAGGGGAGCGAACGGGAUUAGAAACCCUAGUAGUCCGAAGUUC
rnacentral:rRNA from 1 species